CCAGGAUGUACUUUUGAGAUUUUUUGUUGCUGAUACAUAUCAUUUUCCUUAAUAUUGUUGUGUCAUUUGCAAAACUUUCCCAUAUUUUUAUUUGUUUUCCCCUACAUCAACUAUAUCCAAGUAGCUGUCCUUUAGCUUUAUAUGUUAAAAAAAAAUUGUUAAUAGCAGGACUACAGCCCCCAAAAUGCAAAGCAAAUUAUUUG